rnacentral:rRNA from 1 species
UCAUUCUAGAUACACUUUCCAGUACAUCUACUAUGUUACGACUUAUCUUACCUUAAUAAUAAGAGCGACGGGCGAUGUGUACAUAUUUUAGAGCUAAAAUCAAAUUAUUUAUCUAUAUAAAUUUACAACCAAAUCCACCUUCAAAAAUUUUUUCAUAAUUUUAUCCGUUUAAAUAUAUUUAUUGUAACCCAUUAUUACUUAAACAUUAGCUACACCUUGAUCUGAUAUAAAUUUUAAUUAAAAUUAUUGAAUAUUAAUCUUCUUAUAAAAUAUUCUGAUAACGACGGUAUAUAAACUGAUUACAAACUUAAGUAAGGUCCAUCGUGGAUUAUCGAUUACAAAACAGGUUCCUCUGGAUAGACUAAAAUACCGCCAAAUUUUUUAAGUUUCAAGAACAUAACUAUUACUACUUUAGUAUU